rnacentral:lncRNA from 1 species
AAUAAUUUUAAAUAAUUAAUAUUAUGUUUUAAACAUCAAAUUUUUUAAAUUAGGCACUAUUUGCUUAGUUAUUAGGAACUAAAUUAAUUAAAUUAUUGAAUUAGUUAUUAAUUACUCAAUUAUUAAGUAUUUUAAUGUUAUUAACUUGCUUUAAUUAAUGAGUGAAUUUUGGAUGGUAAUGAUCGGAUUACCAAUGCAAAUUAGCUAAUUAGAAUAAUCAAUCAGCAGCCAGGAGCGGGACCGGGUUUAGAGCUAUGCAAAUGAGCUAAUUAGCAUACCCAAUCAGUCAGGGGCAGGCUGUAGGUGGGUUAAGAUGAGUUCAGGGCUAUGCAAAUGAGCUAAUUAGCAUACCCAAUCAGCAGCCAGGGCCGGUGCGGAGGCGGACGGGGGCGGGAUGAGUUCCUGUCUAUGCAAAUGAGCUAAUUAGCAUACCCAAUCAAGCAGGGGCGGGCUGCAGGUGGGUGGGGAUGAGUUCCUGUCUAUGCAAAUGAGCUAAUUAUCAUGCCCAAUCAGCAGCCAGGGCCAUUGCUGAAGCGGAUGGGGGCAGGAUGAGUUAACGGCUAUGCAAAUGAGCUAAUUAGCAUACCCAAUCAGCAGCCAGGGCCGGUGCGGAGGCGGACGGGGGCGGGGCCGGCGCGGGGGGGCCCCGGAGGCGCCGCUGGGGGGCGACGGCGCCCAAGAGACCCUCCAUCAGCAUCAGCACCGACAGCCUCAAGAGCCUGAUCCCCGAAAUCCGCGCGGGGGGCGGGGCCGAGCCCCCGGAGGGGGGCGGGGACAGCGCCGGGGGGGAGGGGCCGGAAGCGGAGGGGGAUGGGCCGGACAAAGGGGGCGUGGCCUGUUCUGGCCCCGCCCCCGGCGCGGACCCGCCCCCGCUGCUGCUCCCCUCCCCCCACCUGAAGAUCUGCCGCACCGUCACCCAGGUGGUUCCGGCGCCGGGGGAGAACGGGCGGGGGGAGGGGCAGGAGGAGGAGGAGGAGGGGGCGGAGUCGGACGAAGGGGGCGGGGCCUGCAAGCCCAAGCCCCUCCCCCACCCCUCCACAAGCCCCGCCCCUUCCGGAGGGGGAGGGGCCACGCCGGGCCCCGCCCCUCCCCCCGCCGCGGCCACGCCCACAUCCGGAGAGGGGGAGGGGAAAGGAGGUAAAAGGGGGCGGGGCUUGAGGGGGAGGGGCCUGAAAUGCAAAUGAGGUGCUUAAAAAUGUCAGGGAGGGGCUUAAAAGGGUGGUGGGAGGGGUCUAAAAUGCAAAUGAGCUGUUUGAAAAUGUGGGGGAGGGGCCAAAAUGGUGGGGGAGGAACCUUAAAUUGGGGGAGGGGUCAAAAAUGCAAAUGAGCUGCUUUAAAAUGUGGUGGGAGGGGCUUAAAAGGGUGGUGGGAGUGGUCUAAAAUGCAAAUGAGGUGCUUGAAAAUGUGGGGGAGGGACUUGAGAGUG